GCCGGGGUAGCUCAGUCGGUAGAGCAGAGGACUGAAAAUCCUCGUGUCGGCGGUUCGAUUCCGUCCCUCGGCACCA
rnacentral:tRNA from 1 species